AGCUAGGAUAGUUUAACAGGUUAGAACUUUAAUUUCAUACAUUAAAAAUGAGAAUUCGAAUUUCUCUCCUAGUUU
rnacentral:tRNA from 1 species